rnacentral:rRNA from 1 species
UACGGAGGAUGCGAGCGUUAUCCGGAUUUAUUGGGUUUAAAGGGUGCGUAGGCGGGCUGUUAAGUCAGCGGUCAAAUGUCGGGGCUCAACCCCGGCCUGCCGUUGAAACUGGCGGCCUCGAGUGGGCGAGAAGUACGCGGAAUGCGUGGUGUAGCGGUGAAAUGCAUAGAUAUCACGCAGAACCCCGAUUGCGAAGGCAGCGUACCGGCCGGUCACUGACGCUGAGGCACGAAAGCGCGGGUAUCGAACAGG